rnacentral:rRNA from 1 species
GUGGGGAAUAUUGGACAAUGGGCGCAAGCCUGAUCCAGCCAUGCCGCGUGAGUGAUGAAGGCCCUAGGGUUGUAAAGCUCUUUCACCGGUGAAGAUAAUGACGGUAACCGGAGAAGAAGCCCCGGCUAACUUCGUGCCAGCAGCCGCGGUAAUACGAAGGGGGCUAGCGUUGUUCGGAAUUACUGGGCGUAAAGCGCACGUAGGCGGGUAUUUAAGUCAGGGGUGAAAUCCCGGAGCUCAACUCCGGAACUGCCUUUGAUACUGGGUACCUAGAGUAUGGAAGAGGUAAGUGGAAUUCCGAGUGUAGAGGUGAAAUUCGUAGAUAUUCGGAGGAACACCAGUGGCGAAGGCGGCUUACUGGUCCAUUACUGACGCUGAGGUGCGAAAGCGUGGGGAGCAAACAGGAUUAGAUACCCCGGUAGUCC